rnacentral:rRNA from 1 species
UGCGCAGGCGGUUCCAUAAGACAGAUGUGAAAUCCCCGGGCUCAACCUGGGAACUGCAUUUGUGACUGUGGAGCUAGAGUACGGUAGAGGGGGAUGGAACUCCGCGUGUAGCAGUGAAAUGCGUAGAUAUGCGGAGGAACACCAAUGGCGAAGGCAAUCCCCUGGACCUGUACUGACGCUCAUGCACGAAAGGCGUGGGAGCAAACA